ACGUGACGAGGAACUAGCCUUAGCGAGGCCAUGGGGGAAAAAGUCUAACUGGCGGAACUCCUGGGAACUGGGGCGAUGGGCUCUUAGUAUCGGAGGAUUGGAGCCAUCUGAUUUUUACCUGAAAUUCCUUAGUCUCUCCUGUGUUGGGGAAAUGAGACCGGGACUUGCUGUGUUGCCCAGGCUGGUCUUGAACUCCUGGUCUUAAGCAAUCAUACUGCUUUGGCCACCCAAAGCACUGGGAUUACAGGCGUGAACCACCACACCCAGCUCUUAAAACCACAGUAUUUCUAGGUCAGUAUAACACACCUGCCCCAGGGACUUACAGGUGUGGCAGAAGCUUGGACUUCUGGCUUUUCUCUCUCUUGCACCCAGGCACGCUGCAGCUACCAUUUCCUCCCUUCACUACGUUUUAGAUUCUUUCCUUUUCAUUCCUGUCAUUACCAUGCUAACAUACAUCUCUAUCCACCUUACUGUUGGGCAGGUAUGAGCGGCUUG
rnacentral:lncRNA from 10 species